UGUUUAAGCAAUCCACAACAGUAGCUUUUGGAGCGUCGUUUUUGUCCCUUUUUAUGCUCUGAAUAGGUUAUUUUGGCUCUUGUGAAGUGACUGGUGGCCGUGCUUUGAUGGGAAUUACCGGCAGGAUGAUUCCUACCGAGGAUGCAUCUGCCAGGAAGAGAGAGAUAGAGGAGAAACUGAAGCAGGAGCAGGAGACUCUUUCAUUCAUUAGAGAAAACCUGGAGAAGAGUGAUCAGCUGACCAAGGGCAUGGUCUCCAUCCUGUCCUCGUUCGAGAGCCGCCUGAUGCAGCUGGAGAACUCCAUCAUCCCGGUUCACAAGCAGACGGAGAACCUGCAGCGGCUGCAGGAGAACGUGGACAAAACUCUGUCCUGCAUGGAUCACGUCAUCAGCUACUAUCACGUGGCCAAAGACACCGACAGAAUCAUCAGAGAGGGACCGACGGGCAGACUGGAUGAGUAUCUUGCUUGUAUUGCAAAGAUUCAGAAAGCUGUGGAAUACUUUCAAGACAACAACCCCGACAGCCCCGAACUCAACACAGUGAAAGCGCGCUUUGAGAAGGGCAAAGAGCUGCUGGAGGCCGAGUUCCGCAGCCUCCUGACCCGCUACAGCAAACCCGUUCCCCCCAUCCUCAUUCUGGAUGCCAUCAGCAUGGACGACGAGCUGGAGGUGCAGGAGGAGGUGGUGCUCGAACACCUGCCCGAAGCCGUCCUCCAGGACAUCAUCUGCAUCGCCGGCUGGCUGGUGGAAUAUGGACGCAACCAGGACUUCAUGAACGUCUACUACCAGAUCAGGUCCAACCAGCUGGAUCGCUCCAUCAAAGGCCUGAAGGAUCACUUCCGUAAAAACAGCGCCUCCUCUGGGAUCCUCUACUCGCCCGCCGUCCAAACCAAACGCAAGGACACGCCCACCAAAAAGGCUCCAAAGCGACCAGUCUACAUCCCAGGGACCAUUCGCAAGGCUCAGAACCUUCUGAAACAGUACUCACAGCAUGGGCUGGAUGGGAAAAAGGGGGGCUCUAACCUCACUCCUUUGGAAGGUAACGCACCUCGGUUUUCUCUUUGGUGUCUUGUUUCCCUCCUCGCUGACAGUACCGGUGUUAUGUGUUGCCUCUCUGUUGUUUCUCAUUUAGAGAAACAAGCACACAUAAAACCUCCUGUGUUUCACAACAGCUUUUAUACUUUACAGAUGUUGGAAAUGUCAUCUUGCUCUGCAGGAGGCAAAACUAACUUCAUUCAGGAAAUUAAAAGCAAAUAAAUCCAUCCGAAAAAUCAUCGUUUAAUAAUUAUUAUGUCUGAAUCUAGGUCGUGAUUUGGUUUUAUUACUUUUCUCAUCCCACCAAAUCUAAAUAUGACAGCAAGAUAAGGUAUUUCCAGCAGAAGGAAAGUGAAGACAAACCAAAAAAACUCCAAAAUCAGCAGGCAAAAAAAAAAAAAAAGUCAGUGGAAAUUCUCUUUGUAGCAGUCCUUAAAAUUACAACAGAAAAUAUGCAGUAUAUAAAUACCUAAAAUAUGUAUACAGAUGGUCAUAAACACCACAGAAUCACAGAAGAGAAAUAUUCCAGCUUCUCCAGUUCACCCAGUAGACGAUAAUGAGCUUUUUUUUCAAUAGUUAAUAAUCUGUCUGCAGUUUCAUCCAAAAACUGGAGAGGAAUUACAACAUUUUACAAUUACUAAUUUUAAUAUUUAGCAUAUUACAAUACAGUUUUAAUUAUUGGCUAAUCUCAUUAUUAUAAUUUAUAAUAAUAAUUAUAUGAAAUGUCAAAUAAGAACAUGGGGAAAAAAGGUUUCCAGUGUCCAAAGUGAAGUCUUUGAAUGUGUUGUUUUGUCGGAUCAACAGGACACAACUCAAUGGUAUUAAAUUUAUAAGGAGAAAAAAAAGAUUAAAACAAAAAAAAAAGAAAAGAUAAAUAAAAGCAGCAAAUCAUUUGAGAGUUUUGUCCAUUUUUCAUAAUUAAAUGAUUAAAGAGUCCGACUGAUUGUGUCAACAUUGAUGUUUGACAGUUUUUUAAAAACAAAUCUGACAAAUCAGCUGAUAUUAAUAUUUGAACAUAAACAACUCGUACUGAGCAGGACAGUUUCUAAAUGAGCUCAAACAUCAGCCAACAUAAACACUGAGACUGUUAAUCUGUUAUAAGAUAAUAUCAGCUGUUAGUAGAUAUUUUAAAGCUGAGCAGACGUCACCAGUGAUGCACAAAGAAAAGAUGAACAGUCAGUUAUGAAUUAACAAUAACUUUAACAUUAAAUAACCAAACUAUUCUGCAGUUAGCGAGUUUAACAUCAUUAAUCUCAACAAUGAAGAAGAAGUUUAAUCCUGUCUGGUGAGUGUUGGUGAAACAUUAAAAAAACUGAACUAAAACCAAAUUGGUACAAAAAGUGUGAUAUGUAACAGUGUCAGACGGGGGGGGGGGGGGUAAAGUGGGGACGGAUCAUGAAUUAAAAGCUGUUGUGAUAUUUUUCUUGUUGCUGUAGUUUUAACACAAACUGACUAACUUAGACAUCAUUCACACGCACAAACCAAAGCCCCCCGCCACUCACCCAACUGCAGUGGGUGUCCCCUUCUUCCUCCCCUCAUCCCCUCCUCCCCCCCUGCUGGGUGCUUGGUGGUGGUCAGCACAGGUGUUCCAGGUUCAGGUUUGUGUCACCGUCCCUCCGUCGGGCCUAGUCACGACCCCCCGCGGUGGUUUGACUAGGCCUGUCUCCCCCUGCUGCCCCACCCUCACCCACCAGGUUACGAUCACGACCUGCGGGUCAAACACCUCUCUGACGCCCUGACCGAGAAGCACGGGGCCGCCGCAGGUGAGUGACGGGAACAUGUGGGGGAAGAGAAGGAAAACAUUACCACCAAAAAAAUUAAAUAAAUAUAAAAAUCUCAAAUACUGCAGCUUUAACAAGUCUCACUUCCUUUUGCUGUACAACAACAUUCACAACCUGCAGCAUAAACACAUUAUCACCUUCAUCUCAGUAUAUACUCGUCCUCACAACACCACAGCCACACAUCUUAAAUCAGCAUCUUUUGGUUCCCUGUCUUGACUUGAUCUUUCCUCGUGUACCUCUCAGGAAAGGAUGAUGUGCUGGACAUCGAGAUCGACUCCUACAUCCACUGUAUCAGCGCCUUCGUCAAGCUGGCCCAGAGCGAGUACGUCCUCCUCGCAGAAAUCAUCCCCGAGCACCACCAGAAGA